rnacentral:rRNA from 1 species
GAUGAACGCUGGCGGCGUGCCUAAUACAUGCAAGUCGAGCGAACAGACGAGGAGCUUGCUCCUCUGACGUUAGCGGAGGACGGGAGUGUAACACGUGGAUAACCUACCUAUAAGACUGGGAACACUUCGGGAAACCGGCGCUAAUACCGGAUAAUAUAUUGAACCGCAGGGUGCAAUAGUGAGAGACGGUUGUGCGGUAACUUAUAGAUGGAUCCGCGCCGCAUUAGCUGGUAGGUCAGGUAACGGCUUACCAAGGCGACGAUGCGUGGCCGACCUGAGGGGGUGAUCGGCCACCCUGGAACUGAGACACGGUCCAUACUCCUACGGGAGGCCGCAGUAGGCAAUCUUCCGCAAUGGGCGAAAGCCUGACGGAGCAACGCCGCGUGAGUGAUGAAGGUCUUCGGAUCGUAAAACUCUGUUAUUAGGGAAGAACAAAUGUGUAAGUAACUAUGCACGUCUUGACGGUACCGAAUCAGAAAGCCACGGCUAACUACGUG